UCUAUAAAAACCCGCUCUGAUACCAUUUUGACUCAGUGCCCAGGAAUGGGUGCCACAUCAAAAGAUACCUAUCAGCUUGCUAACCCUACCCGAUACAUGCCGCACUUCCAACCCCCGCAGAGGGGGAGCCCCGACCAGUUUAGUCAUUAGACUUUUUACGGCGCAACCCAUGUAUCAGAGUGGGGUUUUCCCUUACGGAGAGCUACGCUUCGUGACAGAUCACGCGGUAGAGGAUCAGGGAUAUUU
rnacentral:lncRNA from 1 species